GAUUAUCAAGGCACCUUUAUUUAACCCACCACUACAACCUUCUUCGUCACCUUACAUUUGCCAUUGCAUUCAUCCAUUCAUCUAUCACCACUGCUUCUGAUACUAUUAAAAUGGCUUCGAUUCAAGCAAAUUUGACGACAGUUAUGCGUAAAAAUGUCAACCAUUCUGGCCUGUCAAAGAUUACAAAGACUGCUUUUCUGCCUGUUUUUGAUGUGGCUGCUGAAACUGCCAACUUUAGGAAGACGGAAACUCACUCAUUAGGCAUCAUGGUGCCUCGGGCCACUUUGACCUUUGACCCACCAUCAACCAAUGUGGAGAAAACUAAGCAAAGGAAGAGCACCGUUGACCCAACUGCCCCUGAUUUUCUUCCGCUUCCGUCCUUUGAACAAUGUUUCCCACAAAGCACAAAGGAAUAUAGGGAAGUUGUUCAUGAGGAAUCUGGUAAUGUUCUUAAAGUUCCAUUUCGACGUGUCCACCUAGCAGGGGAUGAGCCGCAUUUUGACACGUAUGACACCAGUGGUCCGCAAAACAUAAGCCCUCAAGUUGGACUCCCGAAAUUACGCAAGGAUUGGAUUGAUAGGAGGGACGGGCUGAGCCCACCAAGAUACACUCAAAUGUACUAUGCAAAGCAGGGAAUCAUAACCGAAGAAAUGCUCUACUGCGCAGCCCGUGAGAAACUCGACCCUGAGUUCGUGCGAUCCGAAGUCGCUCGUGGUCGCGCAAUCAUCCCAUCCAACAAAAAGCACCUAGAACUAGAGCCCAUGAUUGUUGGAAGGAACUUCUUGGUCAAAGUCAACGCCAACAUCGGCAACUCUGCAGUCGUAAGUUCAAUAGAAGAAGAAGUCCACAAACUUCAAUGGGCCACAAUGUGGGGCGCAGACACAAUCAUGGACCUAUCCACAGGCCGACACAUCCACGAAACCCGUGAAUGGAUUCUUCGCAAUUCUGCAGUGCCAGUUGGGACCGUACCCAUAUACCAAGCGCUAGAAAAAGUCAAUGGCAUUGCUGAAAACUUGACGUGGGAGGUUUUCCGCGAGACGUUGAUUGAACAGGCUGAGCAAGGGGUAGAUUAUUUCACUAUUCAUGCAGGUGUUUUGUUACGGUAUAUUCCGUUGACAGCUAAGCGGAUGACGGGGAUUGUUUCUCGAGGUGGGUCGAUUCAUGCGAAAUGGUGUUUGGCUUACCAUAAGGAGAAUUUUGCUUAUGAACACUGGGAUGAUAUUCUUGAUAUUUGUAAUCAGUAUGAUAUAGCUUUAUCUAUUGGUGAUGGGUUGAGACCCGGAUCGAUUUAUGAUGCUAAUGAUACUGCUCAGUUUGCGGAGUUAUUGACUCAAGGUGAAUUAACCCGUCGAGCCUGGGAGAAAGAUGUGCAGGUCAUGAACGAAGGGCCGGGACACAUCCCAAUGCAUAAAAUCCCCGAAAACAUGCAAAAACAGCUUGAGUGGUGCAACGAAGCACCCUUUUACACACUCGGACCAUUAACAACUGAUAUCGCACCAGGAUACGAUCACAUAACCUCAGCCAUCGGUGCAGCCAACAUCGGAGCCUUAGGAACCGCACUCCUGUGUUACGUCACUCCAAAAGAGCACCUUGGUCUACCAAACCGUGAUGAUGUCAAAACUGGUGUCAUAUCAUACAAAAUAGCGGCCCAUGCAGCCGACUUAGCCAAAGGUCACCCACAUGCUCAAGCUUGGGAUGAUGCACUAAGCAAAGCCCGGUUCGAGUUCCGGUGGUUGGACCAGUUUGCUUUGUCAUUGGACCCAAUGACCGCUACGUCAUUUCACGAUGAAACAUUACCUUCUGAUGGUGCAAAAGUGGCACAUUUUUGUUCAAUGUGUGGGCCCAAGUUUUGUUCGAUGAAGAUAACUGAAGAUGUGAGGAAGUAUGCUGAAGAACAUGGGUAUGGGAGUGCGGAAGAGGCGGUUCAACAAGGGAUGGAAGCUAUGAGUGCUGAGUUUCUGGCGGCAAAGAAAACGAUAAGCGGUGAGCAACAUGGUGAGGCUGGCGGUGAGAUCUACUUGCCGGAAUCAUACAUCAAUGCUAUGAAGAAAUAAAGGGAUCAUGCUAAAAUCGAGGAUCACCUAGAAGUGUGUGCAAGACUCGGCCUAGCAUAAACUGAAGUUCAAAAUCCUCAGUGGUAGGGGUGUCUGAAUCUGCUUGCAGCACCGAGCCGCUGCCCCUUUUUUGGGUGGUGGUGGUGGUGGUGAUGUGACUGCGGCAGUUUUAGGCUGAGAAAGUCCCUUAGAACCUGAACAGGAUAAUGCCUGCGUAGGGAGAGUGCUUUUUUUUUUUGGUUUUGUGUAGUUACACAAGCGGGAGGUUUGUUUAUCGGCCCGUUAUGAUGAUUGUGCUCCCAUUUCUCACGUGGCUGGCCAAGCGUCUGAUUCCAAGGUUUACUUAAUCAGGUUGGUUGUUAUCAUGUAGGUAAGUAUGAUAUGUUUAGAGUGGCAAGUUGGGUAACUGGUCAAAAGGGUGAGGUGAAAACAAUAACCUUUUGCACCCAAACAAGUAGGAUUGGGUUGACUUGAAACAUAUGGUCAUUGAUAUAAGUAAUUAGUGUGUUAAAUGGAUAAAGAAAAACUAUACUCUUAACUACUAAUAUAGUAAUACAUUAUCGUAGCAACGUAUAUCUAGCAGGUUGUAUGUACUGAAAGUACAAUUUGGGCGAUCGUUCCACUUAUUUGACAUUUUUUUAAUACUUUUUUAUACUUUUUUUUUUUCCAA